UGGCGAACGGGUGAGUAACACGUGGGCAAUCUGCCCUUCACUCUGGGACAAGCCCUGGAAACGGGGUCUAAUACCGGAUAACACUCUGUCCCGCAUGGGACGGGGUUAAAAGCUCCGGCGGUGAAGGAUGAGCCCGCGGCCUAUCAGCUUGUUGGUGGGGUAAUGGCCUACCAAGGCGACGACGGGUAGCCGGCCUGAGAGGGCGACCGGCCACACUGGGACUGAGACACGGCCCAGACUCCUACGGGAGGCAGCAGUGGGGAAUAUUGCACAAUGGGCGAAAGCCUGAUGCAGCGACGCCGCGUGAGGGAUGACGGCCUUCGGGUUGUAAACCUCUUUCAGCAGGGAAGAAGCGAAAGUGACGGUACCUGCAGAAGAAGCGCCGGCUAACUACGUGCCAGCAGCCGCGGUAAUACGUAGGGCGCAAGCGUUGUCCGGAAUUAUUGGGCGUAAAGAGCUCGUAGGCGGCUUGUCACGUCGGAUGUGAAAGCCCGGGGCUUAACCCCGGGUCUGCAUUCGAUACGGGCUAGCUAGAGUGUGGUAGGGGAGAUCGGAAUUCCUGGUGUAGCGGUGAAAUGCGCAGAUAUCAGGAGGAACACCGGUGGCGAAGGCGGAUCUCUGGGCCAUUACUGACGCUGAGGAGCGAAAGCGUGGGGAGCGAACAGGAUUAGAUACCCUGGUAGUCCACGCCGUAAACGUUGGGAACUAGGUGUUGGCGACAUUCCACGUCGUCGGUGCCGCAGCUAACGC
rnacentral:rRNA from 1 species